GAAAACCUGUUCACAGUGCCUGAAGUUGGUCGACUCCAUGCGACACAGAUGUGAAGCAGUUCUCAGAAUAAUGGUUAUGCGACUAAACAGUAAAGCAAACCCCUGAGACAUUUUUCAGUUCAUA